UCAACCUGCAUCAAACAAAGAAAGGAAGGGCCGGUCAGUGGCUGGACUUUUAUUCCCCUUCUUCACAGAAUGCCGACAGUCUAAAAACAGUAAUAUGGACAGUGUCUGCUGAGCUUAGCUGAGAUGCGUUUACAUACCAGAGCUGUACAGCUUUCAAAGCCUGGGAGUUUGGACCCGAUCUCUUUACUCCCUGUGGUACUGUCUGACAACCCUAACUCGCACAUGAUCAGAUGCAAUAAAAUAUCCUUUAAGAAUUGACCAAUUACUCGAGUGGCACGAAAACCGGAAGACCCUGCGGCUCUCCAGGACCGGGGAUGGCGGCCUCUGGUACCCUGGUUCAGGCUCUCGACCUCCAUCCUGCCUUUGUACUGAUGAGCAGCUCUACCUGCUGUCUGAACCCAUGUGUCUCUCCGCUGUCGCCAGCGAGAGAUCCACCCGGUCCAGAGAGAUUGAGAGGUGGCGCCCCCUAGAGGUACUCCAGCUCCAGGGCGUGGCUCAGCGCAUCCAGGUCAGCCCUGCAGCUCACCCUCCAGAACGGCA